GAUUAAGUUAUUAAGGGCGCACGGUGGAUGCCUUGGCACUAGAAGCCGACGAAGGACGUUACUAACGACGAUAUGCUUUGGGUAGCUGUAAGUAAGCGUUGAUCCAGAGAUUUCCGAAUGGGGGAACCCAGCACGAGUUAUGUCGUGUUAUCGACAAGUGAAUUCAUAGCUUGUCAGAAGGCAGACCCGGAGAACUGAAACAUCUUAGUACCCGGAGGAAGAGAAAGAAAAAUCGAUUCCCUGAGUAGCGGCGAGCGAAACGGGAAGAGCCCAAACCAAUAAGCUUGCUUAUUGGGGUUGUAGGACACUCUAUACGGAGUUACAAAGGAAUAUAUUAGACGAAUCAUCUGGAAAGUUGAAUCAAAGAAGGUAAUAAUCCUGUAGUUGAAAAUAUAUUCUCUCUUGAGUGGAUCCUGAGUACGACGGAGCACGUGAAAUUCCGUCGGAAUCUGGGAGGACCAUCUCCUAAGGCUAAAUACUCUCUAGUGACCGAUAGUGAACCAGUACCGUGAGGGAAAGGUGAAAAGUACCCCGGAAGGGGAGUGAAAGAGAACUUGAAACCGUGUGCUUACAAGUAGUCAGAGCCCGUUAAUGGGUGAUGGCGUGCCUUUUGUAGAAUGAACCGGCGAGUUACGAUCUGAUGCAAGGUUAAGCAGGAGAUGUGGAGCCGUAGCGAAAGCGAGUCUGAAUAGGGCGUUGAGUAUUUGGUCGUAGACCCGAAACCAGGUGAUCUACCCAUGGUCAGGUUGAAGUUCAGGUAACACUGAAUGGAGGACCGAACCGACUUACGUUGAAAAGUGAGCGGAUGAACUGUGGGUAGCGGAGAAAUUCCAAUCGAACUUGGAGAUAGCUGGUUCUCUCCGAAAUAGCUUUAGGGCUAGCCUCAAGUGAUGAUUAUUGGAGGUAGAGCACUGUUUGGACGAGGGGCCCCUCUCGGGUUACCGAAUUCAGACAAACUCCGAAUGCCAAUUAAUUUAACUUGGGAGUCAGAACAUGGGUGAUAAGGUCCGUGUUCGAAAGGGAAACAGCCCAGACCACCAGCUAAGGUCCCAAAAUAUAUGUUAAGUGGAAAAGGAUGUGGCGUUGCCCAGACAACUAGGAUGUUGGCUUAGAAGCAGCCAUCAUUUAAAGAGUGCGUAAUAGCUCACUAGUCGAGUGACACUGCGCCGAAAAUGUACCGGGGCUAAACAUAUUACCGAAGCUGUGGAUUGUCCGUAGGACAAUGGUAGGAGAGCGUUCUAAGGGCGUUGAAGCAUGAUCGCAAGGACAUGUGGAGCGCUUAGAAGUGAGAAUGCCGGUGUGAGUAGCGAAAGACGGGUGAGAAUCCCGUCCACCGAUUGACUAAGGUUUCCAGAGGAAGGCUCGUCCGCUCUGGGUUAGUCGGGUCCUAAGCUGAGGCCGACAGGCGUAGGCGAUGGAUAACAGGUUGAUAUUCCUGUACCACCUAGCAUCGUUUUAAUCGAUGGGGGGACGCAGUAGGAUAGGCGAAGCGUACGAUUGGAUUGUACGUCNNNNNNNNNNNNNNNNNNNNNNNNNNNNNNNNNNNNNNNNNNNNNNNNNNNNNNNNNNNNNNNNNNNNNNNNNNNNNNNNNNNNNNNNNNNNNNNNNNUAGUUAGCUUCUGCGAAGCUACGAAUCGAAGCCCCAGUAAACGGCGGCCGUAACUAUAACGGUCCUAAGGUAGCGAAAUUCCUUGUCGGGUAAGUUCCGACCCGCACGAAAGGCGUAACGAUUUGGGCACUGUCUCAACGAGAGACUCGGUGAAAUCAUAGUACCUGUGAAGAUGCAGGUUACCCGCGACAGGACGGAAAGACCCCGUGGAGCUUUACUGUAGCCUGAUAUUGAAAUUCGGCACAGCUUGUACAGGAUAGGUAGGAGCCUUUGAAACGUGAGCGCUAGCUUACGUGGAGGCGCUGGUGGGAUACUACCCUAGCUGUGUUGGCUUUCUAACCCGCACCACUUAUCGUGGUGGGAGACAGUGUCAGGCGGGCAGUUUGACUGGGGCGGUCGCCUCCUAAAAGGUAACGGAGGCGCUCAAAGGUUCCCUCAGAAUGGUUGGAAAUCAUUCAUAGAGUGUAAAGGCAUAAGGGAGCUUGACUGCGAGACCUACAAGUCGAGCAGGGUCGAAAGACGGACUUAGUGAUCCGGUGGUUCCGCAUGGAAGGGCCAUCGCUCAACGGAUAAAAGCUACCCCGGGGAUAACAGGCUUAUCUCCCCCAAGAGUUCACAUCGACGGGGAGGUUUGGCACCUCGAUGUCGGCUCAUCGCAUCCUGGGGCUGUAGUCGGUCCCAAGGGUUGGGCUGUUCGCCCAUUAAAGCGGUACGCGAGCUGGGUUCAGAACGUCGUGAGACAGUUCGGUCCCUAUCCGUCGUGGGCGUAGGAAAUUUGAGAGGAGCUGUCCUUAGUACGAGAGGACCGGGAUGGACAUACCUCUGGUGUACCAGUUGUCGUGCCAACGGCAUAGCUGGGUAGCUAUGUAUGGACGGGAUAAGUGCUGAAAGCAUCUAAGCAUGAAGCCCCCCUCAAGAUGAGAUUUCCCAACUUCGGUUAUAAGAUCCCUCAAAGAUGAUGAGGUUAAUAGGUUCGAGGUGGAAGCGUGGUGACACGUGGAGCUGACGAAUACUAAUCGAUCGAAGACUUAAUCAA
rnacentral:rRNA from 1 species